rnacentral:rRNA from 1 species
AGCGAACGCUGGCGGCAGGCCUAACACAUGCAAGUCGAGCGCCCGUAGCAAUACGGGAGCGGCAGACGGGUGAGUAACACGUGGGAACGUGCCCUUCAGUUCGGAACAACCCAGGGAAACUUGGGCUAAUACCGGAUACGCCCUUAGGGGGAAAGAUUUAUCGCUGAAGGAUCGGCCCGCGUCUGAUUAGCUAGUUGGUGGGGUAACGGCCCACCAAGGCGACGACGGGUAGCCGGCCUGAGAGGGCGACCGGCCACACUGGGACUGAGACACGGCCCAGACUCCUACGGGAGGCAGCAGUGGGGAAUAUUGCGCAAUGGGCGAAAGCCUGACGCAGCGACGCCGCGUGAGGGAUGAAGGCCUGGUUGUAA